rnacentral:rRNA from 1 species
UACGAAGGGGGCUAGCGUUGCUCGGAAUCACUGGGCGUAAAGCGCACGUAGGCGGACUCUUAAGUCGGUGGUGAAAUCCUGGAGCUCAACUCCAGAACUGCCUUCGAUACUGAGAGUCUCGAGUCCGGGAUAGGUGAGUGGAACUGCGAGUGUAGAGGUGAAAUUCGUAGAUAUUCGCAAGAACACCAGUGGCGAAGGCGGCUCACUGGCCCGGUACUGACGCUGAGGUGCGAAAGCGUGGGGAGCAAACAGG